UACGUAGGGUGCGAGCGUUGUCCGGAAUUACUGGGCGGAAAGAGCUCGUAGGUGGUUUGUCGCGUUGUUCGUGAAAACUCACAGCUUAACUGUGGGCGUGCGGGCGAUACGGGCAGACUGGAGUACUGCAGGGGAGACUGGAAUUCCUGGUGUAGCGGUGGAAUGCGCAGAUAUCAGGAGGAACACCGGUGGCGAAGGCAGGUCUCUGGGCCACGACUGACGCUGAGAAGCGAAAGCAUGGGGAGCGAACAGG
rnacentral:rRNA from 1 species